rnacentral:rRNA from 1 species
UGCGAAAGCAGGUCAUAGUGAUCCGGUGGUUCUGAAUGGAAGGGCCAUCGCUCAACGGAUAAAAGGUACUCCGGGGAUAACAGGCUGAUACCGCCCAAGAGUUCAUAUCGACGGCGGUGUUUGGCACCUCGAUGUCGGCUCAUCACAUCCUGGGGCUGAAGUAGGUCCCAAGGGUAUGGCUGUUCGCCAUUUAAAGUGGUACGCGAGCUGGGUUUAGAACGUCGUGAGACAGUUCGGUCCCUAUCUGCCGUGGGCGCUGGAGAACUGAGGGGGGCUGCUCCUAGUACGAGAGGACCGGAGUGGACGCAUCACUGGUGUUCGGGUUGUCAUGCCAAUGGCACUGCCCGGUAGCUAAAUGCGGAAGAGAUAAGUGCUGAAAGCAUCUAAGCACGAAACUUGCCCCGAGAUGAGUUCUCCCUGAGACUUAGAGUCUCCUGAAGGAACGUUGAAGACGACGACGUUGAUAGGCCGGGUGUGUAAGCGCAGCGAUGCGUUGAGCUAACCGGUACUAAUGAACCGUGAGGCUUAACCUUACA